GAGUUUACACAUCGUAACAUUUUUGUCGCAUAAAGGUUUGAAAAAUGAUGAUAAAUACAAAUAUAUUGAGUGAUGUUCUUAAUUCAAAUAUAUAUUACACUUUAGCAAUUAAUUAAGUUAAAAAAUGUAUUGCUAUUAGUUUAAAUAUACGUAAUAAAAGUGUUUAUGAAAAAUAUUUUCUGAAGUGCGUUUAAUAACCGUUUAGAUCAAAAAUUUAUCUAUCCAAAUAUUGCCAUUCAAACAUAUCAAAAAUUUUUGGAACAUCAUUUAUAUAAAAAUUUAGUGAUAAAUAAGUAAGAACAAUAUUUGAAAAAAAUUAAUACUCGUAUAAUGCAUCUAAGCUUUGUGGGUUCAAAAUUAUAAAUUAAACUUUAGUUUCCUUACUUUGAUACAGUUUAUAUUUAAAUUAUUAUUGAAAACAGUUUAUGCAAUAUAUGGACCAAUAUACAAAAUUUAUGUUCUGAAUAUGUAAUGUUUAGCUUCUUAUGACUUCAAGCACAUAGUAGGUACAUAGAGGUAUAUGAAGCCUGCUUUUAUACUUGAAUAUAUGUACAUAAUAUUACAGUAAUAUAUGUUGUACUUAUAAAAUUGCUUAAUUUCAAUUAAAAAAAGAAUUAUAUAUAACUUUUUAUUAGAAUAAAGUAAAAGAAGGAAAAAAAGUGAAAAAUUAUGUACAUAUUUAUAAGUAUUGUUAUAAGAAAAUUUUAGUCACUAAAUAUUUUUUCAACACAAUUUUCAUUAGCCCAGAAAUUUAUUUUUAUAUAAAUAAAAAAAAAUUAAUAAAAAUAAAAUUCAAACUCCGAAUUAAAUUUUCCUGAAGAAAAGUGUAACAAGUUAAAUUUGUCUUUUUUGGUAUUUUUAACUUAUAUUACGAAUAAAUACAUGUACAUAUAAAUAUACAAAAAAUAUAUAAAAAGAAAAAGGAACAAACAGGGAGCACUUCUAAAUAAAUAUAUAGAACAUAAAUACAUAACACUUUAUUUAUAUUAUUAUAUUAUAUUUAUCCUACUUUUUGAGAAAUUGAAAUUGAACAAAUAAAUAAAUAAAUAAAAACUAAAUGUGUACCAGUUAAAAUAUAGCAAGAACAUUUAAAGCAUAAAGAAAAAAUUAAUUUAAAAAUAUCUCGACAAAACAUAUAAGCAAAUAAAAUACAACGAUCCUACUUACAUAUAAUUCAUCUCCAUACAUAUAUGUAGGUGUACUUACCUGGAUAUAAACAAUAUUUUGUUUUUUCAUAAUACAUAUGCAUAUAAAAUAUUUCAAUAUAAGCGUGUUAAAAUACUUAUAUCAAAAUAAAAUAAAAUUAUCAAGAAUAAAAAGGAAAAAAAAAUUAUAUACAAAGUUUUUUUAUAUCGUUAAGGUUAAAUGUGUUACACAAAUAAAUAAGACUAUCAUUAUAUAUACAUACAUAUAAAAAUAAAUUUAAUAUGCGUGAAUUAAUACCUUUACAA